rnacentral:ncRNA from 1 species
CUGCCACGAAUCCUCUUGAAAGAGAGGGGUACCUUCGGGAACGCGGACACAGGUGGUGCAUGGCCGUCGUCAGCUCGUGCCGUAAGGUGGUGGGUUAAGUCCCGCAAAGCGCAACCCUCGUGUUAAGUUGCCAUCGUUGAGUUUGGAACCCUAAACAGACUGUCGGUGUAUCGGCCUGGGAUCAUGUCUUCUUAGGACUAUUCU